UCUGGCCCAUGACUCCCAUACAAAAUAUAUCUUCCCAGAGGUCAAUUUCUCUUGCACUGACAGGGAAAUGGCAGAAAUCCUAACCAGCCAAAUGAUACAAAUUUAAAUUUCCUGUGGAAGAAAGUUUUUAUGUGCCUGCUGUUUUUCUUUCUUGCAAGCCAGAAGAAAGUAAUAAAAAAUAAAAGUUAAGAAAAGACGUCCAUGCAGAUUAAGUGCAUUUCCAGUCUCCCUUUGAAAUCACAUAAAGCGGCUCUGUGUCUCCUUGCUCUGUGGUGUAAGCGGGGAGUGCCUGAGGAGAGCCAGGGACUAUGUCUGCUUUCAGAAAGGCCCUGGGAGUCCCUGUUUGAGGCUUCUCAUCUUGUCAGUGCUGAAGGGCUGGAGGAGAAUUCGGGGAUUUCUCACAAUCGUAGGCACAUUGAUGCCAGGAAAGACCUUGGUAUGUUUGGCAUGGAACAGUGACAUUUAGCUAUUAGGCUGGAGUGAAACAUGAAUGGAGCUGACAGGGUGAGUGGUCUCACUUCUAAUGC
rnacentral:lncRNA from 1 species